UACGUAGGGGGCGAGCGUUGUCCGGAUUUAUUGGGCGUAAAGAGCUCGUAGGCGGUUCGGUAAGUCAGAUGUAAAAACUCCAGGCUCAACUUGGAGAGGCCAUCUGAUACUGCCGUGACUAGAGUCCGGUAGAGGAGCACGGAAUUCCUGGUGUAGCGGUGAAAUGCGCAGAUAUCAGGAGGAACACCGGUGGCGAAGGCGGGUCUCUGGGCAGUAACUGACGCUGAGGAGCGAAAGCGUGGGGAGCGAACAGG
rnacentral:rRNA from 1 species